rnacentral:rRNA from 1 species
GGUUGACCUCGGAUCAGGUAGGGAUACCCGCUGAACUUAAGCAUAUCAAUAAGCGGAGGAAAAGAAACCAACAGGGAUUGCCCCAGUAACGGCGAGUGAAGCGGCAACAGCUCAAAUUUGAAAUCUGGCGCAAGCCCGAAUUGUAAUUUGUAGAGGAUGCUUCUGGGUAGCGGCCGGUCUAAGUUCCUUGGAACAGGACGUCACAGAGGGUGAGAAUCCCGUAUGUGAUCGGCCCGCGCCCUCUACGUAGCUCCUUCGACGAGUCGAGUUGUUUGGGAAUGCAGCUCUAAAUGGGAGGUAAAUUUCUUCUAAAGCUAAAUACCGGCCAGAGACCGAUAGCGCACAAGUAGAGUGAUCGAAAGAUGAAAAGCACUUUGGAAAGAGAGUUAAACAGCACGUGAAAUUGUUGAAAGGGAAGCGCUUGCAACCAGACUUGUCCGCGGUGUUCCGCCGGUCUUCUGACCGGUCUACUCGCCGCGGGCAGGCCAUCAUCGUCUGGGGCCGCCGGAGAAACCGUCAGGAAUGUAGCUCCCUCGGGAGUGUUAUAGCCUGGCGACAUGCGGCGCGCCCCGGGCGAGGUCCGCGCACUGCAAGGAUGAUGGCGUAAUGGUUGUCAGCGGCCCGUCUUGAAACACGGACCAAGGAGUCUAACAUCUAUGCGAGUGUUCGGGUGUCAAACCCCUACGCGUAAUGAAAGUGAACGGAGGUGGGAGCUUCGGCGCACCAUCGACCGAUCCUGAUGUCCUCGGAUGGAUUUGAGUAAGAGCAUAGCUGUUGGGACCCGAAAGAUGGUGAACUAUGCCUGAAUAGGGUGAAGCCAGAGGAAACUCUGGUGGAGGCUCGCAGCGGUUCUGACGUGCAAAUCGAUCGUCAAAUUUGGGUAUAGGGGCGAAAGACUAAUCGAACCAU